GCAAAAACUUUAAUAAAGGAAUAGGUCUGCUGCAACAAAGGAAAUAACAGCAAAAACAGAGACAAGGACACAUCCUAACCCCACUAAUAUCAGCAGGAAUUUGCCUUCAUCUUCAGUGGGAACAGAACUUCAAAGACAUGGGAAUCACCUAUAAAACCUGAAGGAUUUUCUAAGCUUGAGAGACCAGUUUUCAAAAGCUCUUUAGCAAAGUUAUUAUGUUGCAAGCAUUACUCCGACAGAAGAAACUGUAAAAGGAUGAUCAGAAAUAGUCAGGGGAACAAAGAUUGUCUUCAGCAUCACUCUGUGUUGGGUAAAGCACCAAACUGGUUGAACCAUGCAGACCAAGCAAAAGAGAUCCUGUGAUAAAAGGUCUAACUUAAGAGCAGAUUUCACUAUGAGUUUAAUUUCUUUGUUCAGUCAAAUCCUGUGCACCAGACAGGAUUGGCUCUGACAAGCUUCUACAGAAAAAUGAUCCCAAAGAGACUGAAAUCUAGGCCACAGCUACGAAUAAUUCUUCGGAAGCUCUCUGGAUUUCCUGGAGGGCGAGGUGUGGCUCUGUGUGUGGGAGGACAGUUCUUUGGAAAAGGACAGUGAUCUCAGAAGCAGCACAAGGAAUUCAGCAAAAUACCAGGCUGGAAACAGUAGAUGCUUCUUCAGUACUUUGCCAUGGGUAGCUAUUGGAUAAACUUCUGAGAAAGUGUAAUGUAUCAAAUUACAAUUUUGUUGUUCAUAGAAUUUCUAUUUGGGGAAGUAUUCCUGUUUUCUGCACUAGGCACUUGAAACUCCAGCAACCUCCAUUAUAUUUUUUCCCCAGCUAAUAUACAAUUAAUGCAUUAUCUAGUAGUUAUAAUCUACUAACUAACCAGAAGUGCUGACAGACUUGUAGUAAAUCAAACACCCAGUAUUAACAAGGCUGAUCUGGUUAUCAGUUUAAGAUAAUGGCCAGCUGUGCCAUCUUGAUAAAUCCUGUGGGAAGAAGUUAUUGUAAUGUUGGUUAUAACUACAUGGUUACUACUGUGUUGACAUCCGUACAUAAAGCAACUGUGAAAUAAUUUUUUAAACUCUAACGAGUUUAAAACUCAACAGUCAUAUGUAGCAGACUAGGGAAUUUCCAUAAUUUUUAAAUAAUACAUUUGCAAGGGUUUUUUGCAAGAAUACCGUGUAAAAUGCCUUCUUUUUUGAAAUGCUCUCCUUUGCUUCAUUUUUCCUGAGAUUAUUUAAGUCUUGCUCUGUCGGGCUUCCAAAAGCUUUGCUUCUUUUUCUUUCCCACAUGCACAUAGACACACGUUCUGAGAUGUUUGACACAGACAUUUGAAUGCAUCACUGAUUACUGCUCUUUGCAUGGUACAGCAAGAGGGUACACCAGGCUGAACUGCUGCACCUUCAAGAAGGGCAGGAUGAGAGACCCAGAGAACUGCAGGUCUGCCAGCCUCACCCCUUUCCCCAGGAUGACUCUGGAGCAAAUACUCCUGGAAGACAUUUCCUAGCACCUGAGAUACACAAAGGUGAUUGAGAACAGACGGUGUAAUGUGGCUUUACCAAGGGCAAACCUUUGAUGGGAAGACUGGCUCAACAGAGGAGGAAGAGCAGUGCUUGCUAUUUACCUUGACUUUAGGGAGGCCUUCAACAUGGACUCCCACGGUGCCCUUACAGUCAAUUUGGAGAAAUAUGCAGUGGAAAAAUGUACAAGGUAGAUGGAUGGGCUGUGCAGUAAAAUGGGUGUUGAUCAGCAGUUCUGAGUUCACACAAAAAGGUGGCUGGUUACUACUGGUGUUCCUCAGGGACCCAUACAGAGGCCAAAACUCUUACUGUCCUUAUUAAUGGCCUAGACAAGGUAACAGAGUGCACUCUCAGCACAUUUAGGAAUGAUACCUUUGGGGGACAUGGAUGUCAAUAGUCUGGAAGAUAAAACUGCCACUCAGAGGGGCCUUUGUUGGUUUUUUUUAACAUUGUUUUGUUUCUUAAGCCUAGGACUUUUUACACAAAAGCAUGAAGAUUGUAAAGAAAUUCUCUAAAGCAAAAGCAUUACAGAAUGAAAACUAAGAAAAUUUCAUUUGGUCCUUAUUCAGCCAUAGCAAAAUUAACUUUUUUGGACACUCAGUCCGCAUUUCUCAUUUGCUGGGUGGUGAACUUGAGAUAUGUGGAAUCUGGUAUCUAGAAUGAUCCUGAGCAUGGUGACAUUAAUUGUGAACCUAAUUGAAUAUAGUUGUGGUUUAAAUGCAUAGUGCUAAAUAUUCACCAAAUAACCUCUGGGUAUCUUACACUGGGCAUUCUAAAUUCAUAGAUAUGUUUAAUAAAUUUUGUUUUGACAAAAUGGUUUAAUUUUCUCAUCCAUAUAAUGGACAUCAUGCCUUCUUUCCAAUAAGCACCUUAAUGUUUGUACACAGCUCAGGUACUGUAAACAAGAGUAACCCAGAAAAGCAUAUGAAAAUAAUAAUUUUUUUUUGUGUUAAGUAAUGGGAUGAGGACAGGCAUUGAGAGCACGUAGUAAGAUCUAGUGUUAAUUCUAAACGUUAAAUAAUACCCAACUUUAUCAUGCAUGAUACCCACUUUAUCCAUUAGAGAGAUUGCCCUGGGUGACUGAAAACACUGAAAUUAAAAGACUGUAACCAAGAUAUCCACUAAGGAAUGCAAGCCUGCAAGUCUCAAGCAGAUGAUCCUGAAAACUACUCACGCAGUUCCUGUGUAGGCACCUUGUAAUUUUACUUUGCUCCCCUAUGAAAUGCACCCCUGGAGAAACAGCUCUGGGUAUGCCUAAGUCUGGGAACAGUCUGGAAAGAGCAAAGCAGUUUAGCAUUUAUUUUUUGCUUACGCCUAGCUGAGUAAACAAGAGGCUUUUCUACAGUAGAGAUAACAGAUGGCUUGGUACAGUAUCACAUACCAAGCAUCACGGGCCUAGGAUCUCUACAAAAUACAAUGCAGGGUUUCUCUCAAAAAGUGAUGGUAUAGAUGUUCAUAUUUCAUAGGACAGCAUAUUGUGGUGGGCCCAUG